UACGUAGGGUCCGAGCGUUGUCCGGAAUUAUUGGGCGUAAAGAGCUCGUAGGCGUUUCAGCAAGUCGGGUGUGAAAACUCUGGGCUCAACCCAGAGACGCCACCCGAUACUGCUGUGACUAGAGUCCGGUAGGGGAGUGGGGAAUUCCUGGUGUAGCGGUGAAAUGCACAGAUAUCAGGAGGAACACCGGUGGCGAAGGCGCCACUCUGGGCCGGCACUGACGCUGAGGAGCGAAAGCGUGGGGAGCAAACAGG
rnacentral:rRNA from 1 species